rnacentral:snoRNA from 1 species
AGCCAAUGAUGGUUUUAAGAGUAGUGGACAGAAGUGAUUUCUGAAAACUCCAUACUGAGGCU